rnacentral:lncRNA from 1 species
AAACUUUUAGUCUACAAGAAGAAAAACCAGAACCAGAUGGAACUUUCCCAAAGAUCUAAGAUGGCCUUCAACCCAGCAGCAGUAUCUACGAGAAUGAGAAAGCAUGGAUAACUUAUGCUCUGGGCAUACUUACGCUUAUUGAGCCAGACAAGGAACGUGGUCAGGAUGGCUCCUUUUGCUGCUGUUAUUCCUAUCUCCGCCAGCUAUGGUUCAAUGGUGGAUGGAGGACGAUAGGCUUUUGACUUUGUGACGUUUGAUGCUGGUGGGAGAGACGAGCAGUAACCAUGGGAGCAUGGUGGAGAGUGGUACCUUUUCAGAAAACGACGACAAGUCAAUCAGCGGUGGAUGAAGUUGGAAUCUAGAAGGGAUAGCCGUGGCAGAUUUUUCUAAACAGGAGGUUUCUGAGAUGAUCUGUCUUGGAAGAGAGAUGAAGCCAGCUGUCACAAGCUCCGAGAGACUUCUCCAAGCAGUGGGAUGGUGUGUGCAGAGCCUCUGAGGACAAAACAACCCAGGACAUCUGACAAAAACAACUUAAAGAA